UCGCAUCCCUUCACUAUUUUUUCUCUGGUCUCUCCGCCUACAACUCUUCUCUACUUCCAUCACCACCACAGACAAUAGAUCAGCAUCCUCCAGUUCCAUCACCACCACAACAAUACCUUCUCCUCCAUCUUCUCGAUUGAUUUAGUUUGUAUGCUUAUAAUCAACGAAACACACAAAAACCCGAGUAUACAAAUCUGUAUUUUUUCUCACUUCAGAAAUUGAAACUCACUGUUAGAAAUCAAAGCUUUAUCUGAACCCAUAUCUGAAAACCAAAACCCAUGUAUCAGAAGAAAUCAAGAGGAAGCUUUCUAACCCUAGAUUUAGUAUUUAGUUGUUCUUGAAAUCAUCUGGAUAAUAUCAAUUUCUCUUGAAAUCAUCAGGUGAGCUGUUUAUUUUUCUAUUUUGUCUUACAAGAAAACUCAUUAAGGGUAAAAGAUCUCUUCUCCUAUUGUAAGAAAGAAAACCCCUAAAUCUAAUUUUGAACAUAAAGUAUAAUUUUAUUUUGAUCUUUACCCUUAAUUGACAGUUAGGUCUUUUAUUUUUGUUAUGUUUUUAUUUUUGAGUCUUUUAGGUACUGGAACUCUGUAAAGAAUGACUCAACCCCAUCAUAGAAAGGGCAUCCUACACCAGCAGAAUUGAUUAUCCAAAGUCAGAUUCAAGGCUUAUAAUUGCCAUAAUAUUGCAAGGAUGCUAGCUCAAAUCAAGAAUUCUUAAGAAUAGAGGGAAGUAGAUGUAGUUAUGCAAAGGCUUGCAGAGAUACAAACUAGCAGGAUAUUGGCUAUACGCUGAUCAAUACAUGUUUCCUUAUGGAACGGUCUUGCCACCACCAUGGGCCAAGAGUUGUUGGAUGUUCUUGACAGCGAUCUGAUUAUGGCAAUCAAAUCUCUAAAGGUUGGAGACCUCCAAGGUGAUACUAAUAUAGUUGGAGAAGAAGCGGGCGACGGAGAAUAUUAUAUGUGGGUCGAGUGAAGUAACUUAGUACAUGAAUGGUGACUGCUUUGUCAGCAAAACAUAGCCAAUGAUACAAGGAGUCUGUAGAUUAAUGUGGGAUCUUCAGCAAAUGAUGUUAUAAAGAGCUGCAAUCUAAUGUGUUGGGAAAAAUAGAGUCAGUUAGCAUCAGGGAGGAAGAUACCCUCUUAAUUGUGAGAUAUCAAGUAAGGUUGUCAUCUUUUUGUAAUUACCUUACUCAAUUACAUGGGAAUAAUAAUACUAAUUGUACGAAAGUACUUGAGGUGUUACUCGACAUGGUUUCAGGAGUUACUCGAGAUGGUUUGUUGAUGAGAAUGAAAAAUCUCUGUUGCAGGAUGUUAUUAACUUAUCUUAGAAGGUGUAUUUCUCUGUAUACAAGUAUCUCUAAAUAAUGACAUGGCUAGUUUCAUGUGCAGAAGCUUCAGAUCUCCAAUUUGUUGUUUAAUCAAAUGUCUACUAGUUCAUCAUUUUGUUAUUCAAUCUUAGAACUUACUAGCUAGCUAGAAAUUAUAUAUUGUUUUGAACUCAGGAUUUCAAUCCUUGUCUGUGUAAUUUUAAACCUAAUGGAUACAAUGAAUGAAUGUUGAAUUUUGAGUUUGAGUUCGA